rnacentral:rRNA from 1 species
UACGGGGGGAGCAAGCGUUGUUCGGAUUUACUGGGCGUAAAGGGCGCGUAGGCGGUCAGCACAAGUCAGUUGUGAAAUCUCCGAGCUUAACUCGGGAAGGUCAACUGAUACUGUGCGACUAGAGUGCGGAAGGGGCAACUGGAAUUCUUGGUGUAGCGGUGAAAUGCGUAGAUAUCAAGAGGAACACCUGCGGCGAAGGCGGGUUGCUGGGCCGACACUGACGCUGAGGCGCGAAAGCUAGGGGAGCGAACGGG